AACCCACUCGGGUCCGCUUCCACAGUGUGGAAGCUUUGUUCUUUUGCUCUUUGCAAUAAAUCUUGCUACUACUCACUCUUUGGGUCCACGUUGCUUUUAUGAGUUGUAACACUCACCGCAAAGAUCUGCAGCUUCACUCCUGAGCCGAGCGAGACCACGAGCCCACCGGGAGGAACGAACAACUCCAGACACGCUGCCUUAAGAGCUGUAACACUCACCGCGAAGGUCUGCGGCUUCACUCCUGAGCUAGUGAGACCACGAAUCCACCAGAAAGAAGAAACUCCGAACACAUCUGAACAUCAGACGGGACAGACUCCAGACGCGCCACCUUAAGAGCUGUAACACUCACCGUGAGGGUCCGCGGCUUCAUUCUUGAAGUCAGUGAGACCAAGAACCCACCAAUUCUGGACACAGCCUGAAGGAUAAGAAGAGGAACAUGAGAGAUGCAAACCCUAUAAUGGCAUGAGACCUGAAGACCCUCCACAGCCACAUGAUAUCAUAAUUGUGGGAUGACAGAAGGAAUUUUCAUCUCAACUUAAUGGAUAGGAAAAUGAAGCACAGAGAGGUGAGAAGAAUCACUCUUCAUUCCUGGAUGACCAGCUCUGGCCUAGACUGCCCCAUCCAACCCCACAUCCACCAUUCAAGCUGCUAGGGCCUGAACAUCUAACCAAUGUCCAUAACCAGUCACUGCAUCCUUGUCUUUUGCCAUCUUGUUCCACUUAACAGAGGAAUGAGUUUUUCUGGGAAGGAAAGUGGAACAGAAGGAAAAAAAACCCUGUAUUUGUCAAGAAAAUAAAAAAGUUUUCAAGCAACAUGUCACACAUACACUUUUUACACAUGCACAUUUGCUCAUGCACACAUCUACAUGUACACACUCACAUGCACACAUGCUCACACACAUGCACAUUCAUACACAAACCAAUCAUUCAUCCCUCAGAAGCAGUAUAUGUGUAUAUAUAUAUUUUUUAAUUUUAAUUUUUGUGGGUACUUAGUAGGUAUACAUACUUACAGGGUACAUGAGAUGUUUUGACACAGGCAUGCAAUGUGUAAUAAUCACAUCAUGUAAAAUGGGAUAUCCAUUCCCUCAAGCAUUUAUUUUUUGUGUUACAAACAAUCCAAUUAUACUCUUAGUUAUUUUUAAAUGUACAAUUAAAUUAUACAUUUAAAUUGUACAUUUAAACCCACCCCACCCCUAACCCACCCCACUUCUAACCCACCCCACUUCCCCUUCACUCUCCCACUACCCUUCCCUGGCCCUGCUAACCAUCCUUCCAUUCUCUGUCUCCGUGAGUUCAGUUGUUUUGAUUUUUAGAUUCUACAAAUAAGUGAGAACAUGCAAUGUUUGUCUUUCUGUGCCUGGCUUAUUUCACUUAGCAUAAUGACAUCCAGGUCCAUCCAUAUUGCUGCACAUGAUAGGAUCUCAUUGGUUUUAUAGCUGAAUGGUACACCAUUGUGUAGAAGUACCACAUUUUCUUUAUCCAUUCAUCUGCUUGUGGAUACGUAGGUUGAGAAACAGUAUAUUUUUGUCGUAUUACUUCUGGCCAUCUGAGCAAGUACUGUCCAUGUAGUUUCAGUAAGGAAUCAAGUAAGUUAACAAGUAGAAAAUGAAACCCAGGAAAAAAGAUUAAAAGGCACUGAAAUGCUUAAUUCUGAAGGACAGAGGCUGAAAAAUAAUUUCAUAACAAUCUACACACGUAACAUUUACACAGAGGUUGAUGACUGAUUGCUACCAUUGUCAUAUAAUUGAAUGUCUACUCCACACCUAGUACAAGUAUGCUGAUCUGGCUCUGCUAGGAACACUAGAAGAUGAAUUUAAACUUUAUUAUUUGAAUUUCUGGCUAGUUAUCUAUAUGAAAUCUGGAGAAUAAAAUAAUUGUUGAACACUAGAAUGGUUUAUGCCAAAUGAGAGCUUCAGAAAGUAAACUCUAUUCCUGAGGUCCAUUUCAGCACCAUUCUCUAUCCCACUCUUUUCUUUCCUCUAUCUUCGCUGUAUUGUACCAUGCACACUGCCCUUUUUUUUUUUUUUUUUGGUUUCAUGCCCUAACCUAUUUCAAGGCAUAACCUAAGUCCCACCAUAUUGAAAUUAAAUAAUUUUCACCUUUGAAAAACCCCUUCAAUAAAGCAGAAUUUUGGAAUUUA